AAACGAAAAAAAGUAUAUAAAAUGAAAUACAAAAUUCAAACAAAACAUACACAAAGUGAAUAAAUAAAUAAAUACCCCCAGAAUAUAAAGAAAUACCAUAAUAUUACAAUACACUAAAUAAAAAAGAAAAGUUCAUUCUUAUAUUGUAUAUUGUGUAAGUGUAUCGUUGAGUGUUGGUAUUGGUGCGCUUAAAUAAAUACGUACCAAAUACGCCGUAAGUAAACAAAACAGAACAAAACAAAAAAAAAAUAAAAACAAAUAUUGGAAAAAAACAAAUAAAAGUUAGUGUAUGCGUAGAGAACAAAACAAAACAAAAGAAAACGAAAGAAACAGGCCGUAUAAAGUAACCAUCGUCCGCAGCAGCAUCAGCAGUAGCAGAACACAAUCAAAACAACAUUACAAAAUAUUAAAAAGAUUUUUCUAAGAAUUUUUUGUCUUGUGGGGAAAGGCAGCAAACGAGUGUGAGGCCAACAUUCCUGCUGAAGGUUUUCUCCAACAACAUAAACCACAUGAACUAAAGGUCAACACAUGCAUCGAGGCAGCAAUUAGCCCCCAACAGCAAGUAACCAAAGCAACGAAAAAAAUCCCCAUUCAAGGUAAUAAUUUAAAACAUAUAUUUAUACUAAUUAGUGGACAUUUAUCCCCGCACUACUUGCGCAACCCAAUUUCUCAGUCAUAGUCAAUCGUAAAUUUUAAUUUUUGGUAGAAUCCUAGGUUGGCCAUCCAUCCCCUGGGGAAUUACCAUUGCCAUUAAAUUCAGUCCACGAAAGGCAGGCAGUAAGGCAGGCUGUGCGUGUACGCGCACGCAUAUCUCUUUGUCCACAGCCACAAUUAGUGCACUUGGAAAUGAGGGCUGUGUGAACUGUGUUGUUGUUUUUUUUUUUUUGUGUGCUACAAGUAUCAUGAUAAUAACAAUAAUAAAUGUUGCCAUGACCAGCCGCCACCGCCGUCGCCGUCGCCAC
rnacentral:sRNA from 1 species